UACAGAGACCUCAAGCGUUAUCCGGAUUUAUUGGGCGUAAAGAGCUGGUAGGUUGUUAUGCUAGUCAGAUGUCAAAUCUUCGAGCUUAACUCGAAAACUGCAUUUGAAACGGCAUAGCUAGAGGGUGUGAGAGAUCUAUGGAACUCAUGGUGUAGCAGUGAAAUGCGUUGAUAUCAUGAGGAACACCAAAGGCGAAGGCAUUAGAUUGGCACACUCCUGACACUGAGCAGCGAAAGCGUGGGUAG
rnacentral:rRNA from 1 species